GUCGGGGCCUAGCUCUGGUUUAGGUUGAAGCAGAAGAAUAAAUGUAAAUCGGUGAUUUUAUGGUUAAUUAUGUUGGCUACUGGCGCACUUUCUCUGCAGCAACUGGGAUUGAGGAUCCAGGUUCGAGGAUGAUAUUAGUUUGGGCCAAGAAAGUUUCAUCUGCCCUGGCGUUUGGAGUUUUGAUCUGAAUAUAGAUUCCUUGGUGCAGUUUGUAGGACUUGUAACAGAAUACACCCUAGUGUUUGAAUUAAAUAUGUACUGUUGCGAUGGAUUAGGAAAAUUUAUUUUUCAAGUGAAUAAUCGCAGUAUAGAAUGUGUCACGAAAGGGGGAUAUAUUACUGGUAUGGUUCAGUUCUAGUAACUUUUUG
rnacentral:misc_RNA from 1 species